rnacentral:lncRNA from 1 species
GCACAGAGGAAAGCAAGACUUCUGUUUUAAUUAGCCAAAAAUCUUUUUUAUUUAGCAUUUGUGACCAAAGAACCAAUAAUGUGAUUGAUCAGUUUGCACGAAAUCUUCUGAACUCCAUGCCUCCCGAUGCUAUCAUCCUACUGAGAGGAGACCUUCCGGGGAACGCGCUCCGUUACUUGCAUUACUGCGAGGGGUUGAGGCCAGAUGUUUCCCUGGUGGACCAAGAAAUGAUGACCUAUGAGUGGUACUUACCCAAGGUGGCAA